rnacentral:tRNA from 1 species
GCCGUAGGGGAACCUGCGGCUGGAUCACCUCCUUUCUAAGGAUGAUCCUUCAGCGAGCUCACGCUCACUAUCGGAUCGUUUUAGAAACAUCAGUGGCCAACAGAUCGCCAGAUCGUUGAGCUGCAUUGGCGGGAUUUCGCCGUCUUCGUUUCUCUUUCUUCGCGGACGAACACGCGCUGGGCCUGCAACGGCAGGAUCCGGGGUCCUUAACGGGAUAUGCGUUAGGGGCUUGUAGCUCAGUUGGUUAGAGCGCGCGCUUGAUAAGCGUGAGGUCGGAAGUUCAAGUCUUCCCAGGCCCACCACUUUCAUCGAGUGAGCAUUCGUCUUCUGGUUACGGGGCCAUAGCUCAGCUGGGAGAGCGCGUGCUUUGCAAGCAUGAGGUCGUCGGUUCGAUCCCGUCUGGCUCCACCAGAUGGUUUGAUCGCCGAGGUCAUGCACCGUCGUCCGCGAAACAUCACUUCGCAUUCACUAGUCUGGAUAGACAGUGAACUGCGUGUUUUCUGACAUCGUAAAGAGGAGAUCGAUCCGAGUUGGGUCGUGCAGCAUAUCGUUGCGCGAGCCUUCAUUAUCUCCGGAUCAUUUUCGGCGCUCGCGUCCGACCGCAAGGUUGGCUGCGAGUUGUAAAAUGAUCCUUUUAGCGAAGCUUGACCGCCUCGCUAUCGGAACGAUCUUACGAAGCAAGCUGGUCUUUCUAGUCAAUGUCCGGCUGUACGUAGCAUUCAUCGAGGGUGCGCGCCGCAAGGCAAUCGUACAGACAACAUUCUGCCGAGUGUGUGGACAUUGAUAAUGAGAGCAAUCAAGUGCCUUAAGGGUGUU